rnacentral:rRNA from 1 species
UGGCGGACGGGUGAGUAACGCGUGGGUAACCUGCCUCAUACAGGGGGAUAGCAGCUGGAAACGGCUGGUAAUACCGCAUAAGCGCACAGUACCGCAUGGUACCGUGUGAAAAACUCCGGUGGUAUGAGAUGGACCCGCGUCUGAUUAGCUAGUUGGUGGGGUAACGGCCUACCAAGGCGACGAUCAGUAGCCGACCUGAGAGGGUGACCGGCCACAUUGGGACUGAGACACGGCCCAA